AAAACCAUUUUAUUUGAAUAAUAAUAAAUAAUUCUUAUUUUCGUGGUAUAUUUACUAUAUUAUUUUCCUAAAUAUAUUGUAUUUGAUAAAUAAGAAAUCAACUAUAACAAAGCAAUUAAAACAAUUACAUUUAUUUAAUAAUUUAAAAAUGACAUAAAAGAAUAUAACAUAGUGACUACUAACAGCUGCUACCAAGCACAUAGAAAAGCGCCAAGAAGCUGCGACAUUAGCGCACCCCAUUUUUAGCGCGGAACUAAUUGAAAAUUAUAGAAUACCUAUAAUUGUUAUCCCGCGUAAAGACAAUAAAUAGCCGAUCAGUUUUCGAAAAAAUAUUCUUAAAUUACCUGUGCUUUUCUUUUUUUUACAAUAGGUUGUUUUUUUAUUCCUAAGAGUUCAGAUUCAUCACUAGUAAAGAUGGCAGAUCUGGAAUGACGUAACUAUGAAAGAUUUAUUUUAGAGAAAAAUUUGCAAAAGAAAUUAUGACAAAUGUUUACCGAAAUAUUCAAAUUCCUCUUUGAGAGCCAUCCCAUUGUGAGACUCACAAUUUCGACACACUAAUGCAUAUCGAUUCGAUGGACCAUCUCCAACAAGAUAAUCAAUCAAUCGAUCCAAAUAAGUCCUUUGCCGCGCUAAUACUGGACGUGGUAACGGAGUUCCUAUCCUAAAAAUACUAACGAUAAUCACGAAUUGGAGUAUUAACUGGUCUAAUACCACCCUGGAAGGAAGUAUUUAAUGGAUUCUGAGUGGGAGCUAUGCCAACUGGGACAAGACCAGUGUUAGCAGGUAUACCACUAUGCACAUUCAGUGGUUGAUUUUGAUUUAUUAUUACACGUCUUCUCAGUUCCGUAGAAGGUGAUGCUGGAGAUAUUAUGUGCUGUGGUGUACUUGAUCGUUUAGGAGUUUCUGUUGAUGAUGAUGCUUUAAAAGUUGUCUAAAAUGAAAGAAUCUUUUACUAGACUUUUUAUCUUCUAUAUAUUCAAAUGUUUCUCUAGUACUUUCUUAUCCAAGAAGAUACUCAUAAUUAUCAAAAAUUCAUUCUUGAUAUAUUUUAUCAUGUAAAAUACAAACCUGCGGGGACAACUGAAAAAUGGAAAAAUAAUUCAAUUAUUAAAAAUUUCUAAAGAUUAUAUUAUGUAACUAAAAUAAAGAAAUUAUAUUAUAGAUUUACUUACUGGAGUCAUUCUUAAUUGAUCAGGUGCAAACUUUAACAGAAUUUCUUUAGCUUUUUUAUAUGUUUCAGUCUCUGUAACUUCAUCUAGAAUUUUCUUUUUUUCAGAUUGCAUACUACUUAAUCUAUCUUGAUUUUUAGAAAUUUUACAUUUAUAAUACCACGUUACCAUCUUUUUUGUAAGCAAUAUGCUGCGACAAUGAAGUACAUUUUGUCAUACAUCUUGAAUAAUUUUUUAAAGGAAAUAAAUACAAUUAAAAUACU